UACGUAGGGUGCGAGCGUUGUCCGGAAUUAUUGGGCGUAAAGAGCUCGUAGGCGGCGUGUCACGGUCGGACUGUGAAAGCCCGGGGCUUAACCCCGGGUCUGCAUUCGAUACGGGCAUGCUGGAGUUCGGUAGGGGAGAUCGGAAUUCCUGGUGUAGCGGUGAAAUGCGCAGAUAUCAGGAGGAACACCGGUGGCGAAGGCGGUUCUCUGGGCCUUACCUGACGCUGAGGAGCGAAAGCAUGGGGAGCAAACAGG
rnacentral:rRNA from 1 species